rnacentral:rRNA from 1 species
GACAGAGGCCUCAAGCGUUAGGCGGAAUCACUGGGCUUAAAGCGUGUGUAGGCGGAUCGUUAAGUGUCUUGUGAAAUCCCACGGCUCACCCGUGGAACGGCUGGGCAUACUGGCGAUCUUGGGCCAACUAGGGGCAACUGGAACAAGCGGUGGAGCGGUGAAAUGCGUAGAUAUCGCUUGGAACGCCAAAGGUGAAAACAGGUUGCUGGGGUUGUGCCGACGCUGAGACAUGAAAGCCAGGGGAGCAAACGGG